AAAGAAGAAAUCAGUUAGUUUUGAAUGUAACUAAUGCAGUUCUGUGGCGUGUGCCCGGCUGGAUGGAAGCAUUCUGACAGCAGGGUACGUUCCAGGAAUAUGUGCUGCAGAAGUAGUGGAAAAAGAUGAUCCUGGAAUAGCCGAAUGUGUGGGCGAAGGAGUUUCCCAAUGUGCCAGUUAAAAAUAAAGCAAAAUGUGGUCAAAUCGAAGCCCGUGUUAAAGUCGUGGGGAAUAACCUGCCGCCACAGAAACACUGUAAAUAUCCUGUGCAAGCAGAGGCAGGAAUUUAAAAAAUAACUAGAACAGAUAGUAAUUAACAAGGGAAAUUCUGCAUACAAGAGUCCAAUUUGGCCUUAAAGCCUCAAAAAAAUAAAAAUGGACAGUGGAUUUUAGACCAAUUAAUAAAGCUCCCUCCCACACUCCCAUCCCCUGGCAGCAUUAGUAACAGAUCUACUUCAAGUAACGGCAAAAAUACAGGGGCCCCCUAAAUGGCUCUGUGUUAUAAAUUUGGCAAAUUGUUUUUUCACUGUCCCAUUGUGUCCCGAUUCUUGGGCCUGCUUUGCGUUCACUUUUAAGGGCCAACUGGACUUAUUUAAAAACAUUCCCCGGGGCCCACCCGGCACUCUGGCUAUUGUGCACCAACGUGUGGUGCAAAUGCCAGAUCAAUUCUCCCAAAAGAAUUUAAAAAAAAAAAAUCAUCUCCAAUGUAAAUAACGUAUUAGUGUGGGGAGGACGCACUAAAAAGGAGGUGACUUAGUGAACUAAAAAGGGGUUAAAACUCAUUCCGAAAAGGGGUUUCAAGUAGGGUGACCAGAAAGCAAGUGUGAAAAAUCGGGAUGGGGAUGGGGGGUAAUAGGAGCCUAUAUAAGAAAAAGCCCCAAAUAUCAGGACUGUCCCUACAAAAUAGGGACAUCUGAUCACCCUAGUUUCAAGGCUAAUUAAAAAAAAUGCGCAAUGAGUGCAAAGAAAAAUAAAAAAAGUAAAUUAUUUGGGAGUGAGCCUAGGGAAAGAAAAAAAUCAGGUAAAUCAACAAGAGGUAAAAUCAUUAAUAAAUUUCCCAAGGCCAAAGAAUUCUCAUGCAUUGAGGGUAAUGUUAGGAGGGUUUAACUAGUUAAAAAGACACAUCUGGAAUUUUGCCGCUAUAAUGGACUCUUGUGGUGUUUACCAAAAAAAAAAAAAAAAAAAAAAAGGUAGAAUGAAAGUGAGGGCCUAAACCAAAAAGAGCUUUCUGUCAUUUAAAACAAACCGGAAUGCAAGCUCCAGCACUGAAAUUCCCAGAGAUAAACAAGCCGUUUGUAAUUAAGUUGGCAGCAAUCCAAUGCAGUCUAGCGCUGGUACUGAUGCAAAAAGCUAAUAAAAAGUUGAUACCGGUAGCAUACAAGUCUAAAAACUUAACCCUUACGAAGCAGCAGUUUGGAAUCUGUGGAAAAAAAUGUUUAGCUGCUUUGCCCCUACAAACACCUCCCUCUCUUGAAAGUACUUUUUUUCCUUGCAGUUUUUCUGAUAAAAUAUAUCAAAUACCAGAAUGGCCAAAUGGACCUUAAUGUUAACUAGCAAAAAAGUUACUUAGAAAAAUAACAAACAAGCAGUAACGUUACCAUAUGCCCUCCUGACGGGAGGAAAGAGGCAUAAAUACCCACUUCCAAAAACUGAACCAAAGUUAGUUAAAAAAGCAUCCCCGGUAAAUAAAGUGCUAUGCCUCGGGGGGAGGAGAGAGGGGAAGUUUUGCUGUACAAAUUAAUGGGGAAACUAUUUCUGAUUCUAUAACUUCGGCACAGGGAGCAAAGGUCAAUUUAAAAAAAAAUCAUUGGAAAACAGCUAAGGAAAAAAAAUUGGUCCAAAGCCCCCCCCGCCCCCCAAACAAUGUACAAUGCAGUAUUUAGUCUCUAAUGGCACAAAAGUAUUUAAUUUAGGCCAUGGGUGUAUUUGUGUAUUUUUAAAAAGUAUAACAAAAAAUGCCCAAAUAAGUCAUGUAAAUGUAAUGUCAUAAAGGUCAUUAUUAAUACAAUUAUUUACCAAGGUCCUCUAUUUAAAAAAAAAAAAAAAAUUAAAAA